CUGACAAUGGCCGCUCGGAGCAAGUGGCAGUUGCAGGCCAGCCCGCCUUCCCUGCCCUCACUCCCUGGCACAGUCGCUGGAGUGUCCCUCGGAUCAUACUUCUGUGUCUGCGGUCCAACCCUUAAAUUGUACCAAUAAACUCAUAAAAUGGGCCAAAUGGAGAAUUUCUGGACUUGGCAUGGCUCUCCCUCAACCCAGAGAAGAAGAAAUAUAAUUUCAUAUGGAUGUUCUCAAUUCAGAAUUUUAAUUUUCUCUGUUCAAGAUUUAUAAAAUUUGUUAAUUAGAGAUAUUAUUUCAGUUUGGGUCUCAUUUUCCAAAUUUCUCAGGAUACCUAAAAUCUAUUGCCAUUUGCAAGGAAUUGAAUUGCAUUCCCCCCAAGUUCCUAAGUUGCACUAAUUCCUAACCACUAAUGAGACUGUAUUUAAAGAUAGGGCCUUUAGGAGGGAAUUAAGGUGACACGAAGUCAUAAGUGUGUAGCCCUGAUCUGAUGAGAUUAGUAUGCUUACAAGAAGAGACACCAGAAAGCACCACGUCUGCCUCUUUCUCCCCCACACCACAUCUGCCACGUGAAGACACAACGAGAAGGCAGCAUUUGCAAACCAGGAAGAAGACUCACACCAAGAACAGAGUCCACCCACACUUUGAUCUCCAUCCGCACUUCGAUCUUUGACUUCCAGCCUCCAGGACUUCAAGACAUCAAUUUCUGUUGUUUAAGCCCCUCAGUCUAUGGCAUUUUCUUAUGGCAGCCCACACAGACUGACUUCACUAUGUAGUUCUCAGAUAAAACUUAGAUGAUUUCCUUUUAUAAGUUAGAAUUAACUUGCAUUUACUGUUUCAGUCGUAAGUUUCUUGAAUCCUUUAAUACUUGACAGGCACUGUAGUAGUUACCUGCACUAACUACCACUACAUUUACCAUUCACAGUAACCUGGGAAAUAAUUUUUUCAAUUUUCCCCAUUUUCUAUAAAGGGAAACUGAGUAAAAGGGUGGUUUGAAAGGGCAAGUGAGUGGCAAAUGAGGUCCACUGGAGACAAAAGUCUGCUUUCACUCAUCAUGCUGCCCUGAAUGAAAACCAUGAAGCCAAAUUUUGAACCAACUUUUCAUUGUCUGCUGCUAAUUUGCAGCUGCCGCACUGGGAUGCCUCUUCUAUCACGCUUUGUGUUUGAAUGUUGGGUGUAGUACUUGGAGGCCUGCAGAGACUGAUGCUGUUGAUAGAUGUCAUCUCUUGUGAGCGCCAGUUGGCCAAGCUUCCUCGGAUGUGAACCACGUAUAGGCAGCCCCUGACAGUCUCACAACAGAGUGGUUUCAAAAUGGAACAAUAAUUUUCUGGAAACUCCACCUCACCCUGUAAAAGUGAAGAUUGGGUGAGUUGACUAGAGUGUCUUGGCAAAGGACAAAAACAUGAAAUAACCAGUUCAAAGUCACCUCUCAUGUCUUAGAUAGAGCCUCAGCUGCCUCUGUCUUUGAAAUUCUUCAUUUACUAGGCAGGGUCAGCCCCUCUCAGAGCUGAGCGUUUCACAGGAUGAAGGUAAAAUGACACAUGAAAUGACGGCACUUAAGCACUGCUGUUUCCUGAGUGUACGUUGUGCAUAGUAUGAGAAGUUAUUUCUCAUAAGGACAAUCUUUAACUUAAGCAACAUGUCCUGAAGAUGUCUUACAAGGGCAAUCAAGACAUAGCCAGGGGGCUAAGUGGGAGGAAGUUAUAAUGUACAAGGUGAGUCUUUGGAGACUCUGAAAAACCCAUUAACGGAAAAGUUAUUAAUGUCUUUUUUAAUGCAGCUAUAGUGCAGAGGCAGACCCCAAAGAAACCAAUCCACAUUAUGAAACAUUUUACAGAAAUCCACUUUUAAAAAUAGGAGAACGCUAUACAUGAAGUCUUGAGGUGGGAACUGAGUACAUGCCUGGCCUCCUGGGCCAGUUGUGGAUUUUCUAAAGAAUAAAAGGAAAUUCUACUUUCACCUCUACUUUGAGACAGAGAAAUAGAACAAAAUUGCCCACUGUAAAAUUUGAUUAUCAUUUUUAUUUCUCUUUCUCAGAUUUAAUUUUCUUUCUUUCUCUUUUGUACUUUCCCUAAUCAACUCUAAUAUCUUCAGGCCUCUGUUAACUUGAAUUCAGCUUUAAACAUAUCAGGUUAUUAAAACUUCAUCAGGUAUGGCUAUGAUGCCCAGUCAGGUGAGUUUCUCUACAAACGGUGGUGGAACUCUGGUCCCAUGAAUAAGAUGCCUCUGUCCUAUUGUCAGAAGGGAAUAAACUUGGAUAUUUUUUUCUCCUUUAGAGGUUGACAGAUUUGCAUUCAUUUCCAUUAGACUAAGAGCUCUUGGUAAACAUAAACUGGGUCUUGUUUAUCUUUAUAUCCCUUUCUCAUAGCACAGACCUGGUACACAGUAG
rnacentral:lncRNA from 10 species